GAGUUUGAUCAUGGCUCAGAACGAACGCUGGCGGCAGGCUUAACACAUGCAAGUCGAACGCCGUAGCAAUACGGAGUGGCAGACGGGUGAGUAACACGUGGGAACGUGCCCAAAGGUACGGAACAACUCCGGGAAACUGGAGCUAAUACCGUAUGUGCCCGAGAGGGCAAAGAUUUAUCGCCUUUGGAUCGGCCCGCGUCUGAUUAGCUAGUUGGUGGGGUAAUGGCCUACCAAGGCGACGAUCAGUAGCUGGUCUGAGAGGAUGGCCAGCCACACUGGGACUGAGACACGGCCCAGACUCCUACGGGAGGCAGCAGUGGGGAAUAUUGGACAAUGGGCGCAAGCCUGAUCCAGCCAUGCCGCGUGAGUGAUGAAGGCCUUAGGGUUGUAAAGCUCUUUCGCCAGGGACGAUAAUGACGGUACCUGGAUAAGAAGCCCCGGCUAACUUCGUGCCAGCAGCCGCGGUAAC
rnacentral:rRNA from 1 species